AUUGGAUAAAAGACAAGUCACAAAUUAAAUGACUUCUGAUUGGCGAACGCAGUUAGCGAAUCAAAAGUUAGAAAUGCGUUACCUAAUUUGUAUAGACCCUAUAGCUGUCCAAGGUGCGCACCUGUUUAAAAAUAUACAUUUAUUAUUAAUAAAACAUUUUUUUUAGUACACGUGUCCACGUCAGUAUUUUAAUAAUAUUAUAUUUUCAUGCUUUUAGUGAAGAAUUGUUUUACUAUCAGUCAUAUUUUAAAACGGGCAGUUUCGAAAUAACCAAAGAAAACAACGAUUCUAAACCGGAACGUGCCUGAAGGAAUCAACUGUAGUUCUCUUUUAUAGCGGUUUAAAAUGUAUCUAAAAGUAUAUACGGGUGUUUGCAAUAAGUUAAUCACUGUCAUGUCAUGUCUGUGUGAAACGACUUUAUUUCAUGUGAUAAGUUUGUGGAAGAAGGACGCCAUGUGAGGAGGCGUUUGCUCUUGUUUUACACAGACUACGAGGGACAGCGCUCGUUAAACCAGGUCUGUGAGGAUGAGAAGGUCUCCACAGUCUGGAGUCUGGUCUCUGACAGGCUCAACAUACCUGUCAAUCAACAGGGACUCCUCUACAAAGGCAAGGCGCUGGCAGGUAGGCUGAACAGCACAGCACAGCUCACCCCUCCUCUCACCCCUCGCCUCACCCCUCCUCUCACUCCUCGCCUCACCCCGGGUCAGUGUGGCACAGCCUGCCUGCUCUUCUGAACAAACACUUCAGCCCUGCCAACGCAGUGAGAGUCUGGAGCAGCUACACGAGUUCUGUGAGGAUGAGAAGGUCUCCACAGUCUGGAGUCUGGUCUCUGACAGGCUCAACAUACCUGUCAAUCAACAGGGACUCCUCUACAAAGGCAAGGUGCUGGCAGGUAGGCUGAACAGCACAGCACAGCACAGCUCACCCCCUCCUCUCACUUCUCGCCUCACCCCGGGUCAGUGUGGCACAGCCUGCCUGCUCUUCUGAACAAACACUUCAGCCCUGCCGACGCAGUGAGAGUCUGGAGCAGCAACACAAGGAUUACGAGCGGAGGCUGCGCUUGUUGAGCCUGGAUGAUAUGGAGCCGCUGGCGACCCGCAUGCUUCACCCUGAGGCUGUGGAGUGCAUGGAGCUGUCCUUCCUGGACCGAGGAAUACUGCUGCUGCCCUCUCCCCCUCUCCCCUCUCUUCUCCCCCUCUCCCCUCUCCUCUCCACCUCUCCCCUCUCUUCUCCCCUCUCCCCUCUCUCCUCUCCUCUGUACUCUCUCCUCCCCCUGUCCUCUUCUCUCCUUACUUUGUUUAAAAGAAUAGAAGCACACCCAGUGAGCAAGGCAUUGAGCAGCCCCACAUCCCGCUUCACAAUACCGCUACAUAUUGACUGACUGUUCGCAUUGUGUGUGUUUGGUCUGUGAGGAUGAGUAGGUCUCUACAGUCUGGAGUCUGGUCUCUGACAGGCUCAACAUACCUGUCAAUCAACAGGGACUCCUCUACAAAGGCAAGGCGCUGGCAGGUAGGCUGAACAGCACAGCACAGCUCACCCCUCCUCUCACUUCUCGCCUCACCCCGGGUCAGUGUGGCACAGCCUGCCUGCUCUUCUGAACAAACACUUCAGCCCUGCCGACGCAGUGAGAGUCUGGAGCAGCAACACAAGGAUUACGAGCGGAGGCUGCGCUUGUUGAGCCUGGAUGAUAUGGAGCCGCUGGCGACCCGCAUGCUUCACCCUGAGGCUGUGGAGUGCAUGGAGCUGUCCUUCCUGGACCGAGGAAUACUGCUGCUGCCCUCUCCCCCUCUCCCCUCUCUUCUCCCCCUCUCCCCUCUCCUCUCCACCUCUCCCCUCUCUUCUCCCCUCUCCCCUCUCUCCUCUCCUCUGUACUCUCUCCUCCCCCUGUCCUCUUCUCUCCUUACUUUGUUUAAAAGAAUAGAAGCACACCCAGUGAGCAAGGCAUUGAGCAGCCCCACAUCCCGCUUCACAAUACCGCUACAUAUUGACUGACUGUUCGCAUUGUGUGUGUUUGGUCUGUGAGGAUGAGUAGGUCUCUACAGUCUGGAGUCUGGUCUCUGACAGGCUCAACAUACCUGUCAAUCAACAGGGACUCCUCUACAAAGGCAAGGCGCUGGCAGGUAGGCUGAACAGCACAGCACAGCUCACCCCUCCUCUCACUUCUCGCCUCACCCCGGGUCAGUGUGGCACAGCCUGCCUGCUCUUCUGAACAAACACUUCAGCCCUGCCGACGCAGUGAGAGUCUGGAGCAGCAACACAAGGAUUACGAGCGGAGGCUGCGCUUGUUGAGCCUGGAUGAUAUGGAGCCGCUGGCGACCCGCAUGCUUCACCCUGAGGCUGUGGAGUGCAUGGAGCUGUCCUUCCUGGACCGAGGAAUACUGCUGCUGCCCUCUCCCCCUCUCCCCUCUCUUCUCCCCCUCUCCCCUCUCCUCUCCACCUCUCCCCUCUCUUCUCCCCUCUCCCCUCUCUCCUCUCCUCUGUACUCUCUCCUCCCCCUGUCCUCUUCUCUCCUUACUUUGUUUAAAAGAAUAGAAGCACACCCAGUGAGCAAGGCAUUGAGCAGCCCCACAACCCGCUUCACAAUACCGCUACAUAUUGACUGACUGUUCGCAUUGUGUGUGUUUGGUAAGACAAACCACAUUUUCUACUUCUACUUUCUACGAUUGGGCAAGUCAGCGGUUGUUUGAUAACCGAACAUAAAACAUCACAGAGUGGGUUGAACUGCAUUGCUGCAAACCAAGGCCCUUUAAAAUGUGUACCUUCCCAGCUCAGGUAUUGCUGAGGUAAAGAGACACUUCCUACAGGAGGACAGGACGUUGUCAAGGAGGGGAUGUCGUCACGUGUCCUGAGGGCUUUCUUAAAAACAUUGUUUUAUUAUUUCUAAGCGCACGUUGUUACUGCCUUUUAGCUCUUGAGCAUAAUAAUCUCAAUCCCGUUUGAAAUUACAGUAAGUGCAUUUGCAUGGUGGCAGAUGAGGGAUGUCGCUUCACUCGAGGCUUGCGUACUGAUGAAGAUGUAGUUUCAGUGUUUAAUGCUCAUCCCCUCACUGUGUGUUUGUGUGUUCUUGUCUCUCGCCUGUCCUGUGAGGAUGAAGAUGUAGUUUUAGUGUUUAAUGCUUAUCCCCUCAGUGUGUGUCUGUAUGUUAUUGUCUCUUGACAGUUCUGUGAGGAUGAGAAGGUCUCCACAGUCUGGAGUCUGGUCUCUGACAGGCUCAACAUACCUGUCAAUCAACAGGGACUCCUCUACAAAGGCAAGGCGCUGGCAGAUGAGCACAGACUGUCACACGACUCCAUCGCUCCCGAUUCCAAGCUGAACUCGUUGUGACGCCCCCAACAGAGAAAGUGUCACCCGAGCAAGAACAGCACUCCGUGUCACCCCUCCUCUCAGACCUCACCCCUCACCCUCGCCUCACCCCUCCUGUCACACCUCACCCCUCGCCACACCCCUCCUCUCACACCUCACCCCUCCUCUCACCCAUCGCCUCAACCCUCCUGUCACCCCUCGCCCCUCCUCUCACCCCUCGCCCUCACCCCUCCUGUCACACCUCACCCCUCGCCACACCCCUCCUCUCACACCUCACCCCUCCUCUCACCCAUCGCCUCAACCCUCCUGUCACCCCUCGCCCCUCCUCUCACCCCUCGCCUAACCCCUCCUCUCACGCCUCGCCUCACCCCACCCCGGGUCAGUGGCACAGCCUGCCUGCUCUUCUGAACAAACACUUCAGCCCUGCCGACGCAGUGAGAGUCUGGAGCAGCAACACAAGGAUUACGAGCGGAGGCUGCGCUUGUUGAGCCUGGAUGAUAUGGAGCGGCUGGCGACUCGCAUGCUUCACCCUGAGGCUGUGGAGUGCAUGGAGCUGUCCUUCCUGGACCGAGGAAUACUGCUGCUGCCCUCUCCACCUCUCCCCUCUCUUCUCCCCUCUCCCCUCUCUCCUCUCCUCUUUACUCUCUCCUCCCCCUCUCCUCUCCUCUCCUUACUUUGUUUAAAAGAAUAGAAGCACACCCAGUGAGCAAGGCAUUGAGCAGCCCCACAUCCCGCUUCACAAUACCGCUACAUAUUGACUGACUGUUCGCAUUGUGUGUGUUUGGUAAGACAAACCACAUUUUCUACUUUCUGCUAUUUUAAAAGGAGCCCAGUUUGGUGCAGGAGGCUUGUGGGUAACAGAGUUGUUUUUGCUGGGGACUGCAGCCCUUCCAUUACCAUUGCUCGUAGAGGGGAGAUUGUUUUACUUUCAAGCCUUUUUCUUUAAUAAAUCCGGACGUUUGGAAAUACA